GACGAACGCUGGCGGCGCGCCUAACACAUGCAAGUCGAACGAGAGAUGAGGAGCUUGCUCUUCAAAUCGAGUGGCGAACGGGUGAGUAACGCGUGAGGAACCUGCCUCAAAGAGGGGGACAACAGUUGGAAACGACUGCUAAUACCGCAUAAGCCCACAGCUCGGCAUCGAGCAGAGGGAAAAGGAGCAAUCCGCUUUGAGAUGGCCUCGCGUCCGAUUAGCUAGUUGGUGAGGUAACGGCCCACCAAGGCGACGAUCGGUAGCCGGACUGAGAGGUUGAACGGCCACAUUGGGACUGAGACACGGCCCAGACUCCUACGGGAGGCAGCAGUGGGGAAUAUUGCACAAUGGGGGAAACCCUGAUGCAGCGACGCCGCGUGGAGGAAGAAGGUCUUCGGAUUGUAAACUCCUGUUGUUG
rnacentral:rRNA from 1 species